GACGAACGCUGGCGGUGUGCUUAACACAUGCAAGUCGAACGGUAAGGCCCUUUCGGGGGUACACGAGUGGCGAACGGGUGAGUAACACGUGAGUAACCUGCCCUCAUCUCUGGGAUAACAGUCGGAAACGGUUGCUAAUACUGGAUAUGAGCUUGCAAGGCAUCUUGUGGGUUGGAAAGAUUUUUUUGGUUGGGGAUGGACUCGCGGCCUAUCAGCUUGUUGGUGAGGUAGUGGCUCACCAAGGCUUCGACGGGUAGCCGGCCUGAGAGGGCGACCGGCCACAUUGGGACUGAGAUACGGCCCAAACUCCUACGGGAGGCAGCAGUGGGGAAUAUUGCACAAGGGACGGAAGUCUGAUGCAGCAACGCCGCGGGCGGGAGGACGGCCUUCGGGUUGUAAACCGCUUUCAAUUGUGACGAAGCUUUUUGUGACGGUAGCAGUAGAAGAAGCACCGGCUAACUACGUG
rnacentral:rRNA from 1 species